GGUUGAAACGUUCAUCAAAAUAAAUAAACUACACAUGGACUGUCCAAUCUAACAUAUUAUGCUUCUAAACAGAAAGAUUCGUGUGUACGAAACAGUGGAAAACGUUGUAAAUUAAAAAUGCUCGAACCAGCUAACUCGUCAAGAGUGUGAUCGCUACGGAUUGCAUUCGACAGAAAAAGUCACCUGGGCUGGCCGUUAAAACGGGCCGGAUGGCACGCGCGGAACAGCGAAAAGAAAAUAAAGAAAAGAUAGUGCUCACUGGCCAGAGUUUCUUCCGGACAAUCCCCAAGAAAUUCGUGGCGGUCAAUUCGAGGACAUCCCGAGUGUAUCCGGUUCUAUUCUGGGUACUUCGCGCUGUUAUCGCUUACUUGUACUUAUCCAUCCAUGGCUCAGUCUCUGGCCACAGGUCUCCGAUUACCGUCAUCUCGUCGUCAAACGACAAAUAUCGAUGAACGAGGCCUUGGUAUUCAGAGCCUUUCAAUGGCAAGAGUUUCCUCAACUACGGAACCAAAGCACCCAGUGUUUAAGUAUCCGAAGUUGUCACUCGAUCAAAAUACCAGCGUUUACAAUAUCAA